GUCAGCCCACUCUGGAAGACCCCCAUUAACGUCAGACUGUAGAGACAAUUUGUGAAAGAAGGCUGAAGUGGUUUGGGCAUAUCUGAGAAAACUGUGUUCCUACACAAGCCCUUGAUUGGCUAGCUCCUGGUGAAAGACAGAAGAGAGGAGGACAGCAGAUGACUUAUAAGAAAACCACUGAGAAAGAUGCCGCUGUCAUGGAAACAGUCUACAACAGAGCAGAAACAUGCCGUUAGACAGAUGGAGGUGGAAUGACUGGGUUUCCUCGUGUCACAAGCCCCUGCACAGCUGCUAGACGCAAAGUUAUCACAAUGGAAAUGGAGCUAAAACCGAACUACUAACGCCCUGGGGAAUCAAAGUGGUGGAACAAGAAGCCAUUGAGCGUAUCAUUUCUAGGGAGGAUACUCUCUAAUGAUUGGAUUCCAACUCCCCUAGCAGGAUACCGUGCGCGUCAGCAUGCUGAGAUUUAGAACAGCAAAUGCUUCCCAGCAUCUACAUUCCUCACCAGCUUAAUGCAGGCGCUCAAUGACACCAGUCAGCAUUUCUGUACAGGAAAUGAGGGGGUAUUAACGAGUGAAGGCUUCUUCAUUGUCCAGAUUGUUGGUUUUGUUGCUACUUGUGCUGGCAGCCCACUGAGAUGGAAAUUCCAUCUCCUGGCCAUUGCAGUGGAAUAACAGGGGCACCCUUCAAAAUGCUGCCUUUUUUGUUCAGUUUUGCAAUUACAUUUCAGGGCUCGUCAUUCUCAUUGGCUCAGAGAAGCCCUGCGUCCACUCAGGAAAUAUGGCUAUGCAGCACUGGCUAAUAGAUCAGCCCUGCCCCGGGAAGUCAGCAUUCGGCUACAGCCUGCUAAGCAUGGAAGGCAGUUUCCAAGUGGAGCACUGUGAUGGAUUCGACCCAUGCCCCUCUUCUGCCACCCUGCACAGGAAAAAAACAAAGAGCAUUGUUAUCUGAAACGUACAUUAUCCCUGUUCUGAGAAAGAGACCGUGAAACUGUUAAUGUGGCUAAACUCAUUCCAGAAGUGGCCCUCACCCCUCCAUUUUUACAGGAUACUUUUCCUUUGCCCUGGUUAAUCUGCUAGUUAGUCAGUGUGAGUAAUAAGAGACUUAGCAGAAUAAACUAAGGGUGUGUUGGUUUUGUAGCAUAACCCCAGGUGUUUCGCUGUGAGCCCUUCCACUCUUUAUUCUGAGUUGCUGAGUACACACACCCUUCUCUGCCCACUGAACUCUCGAGCGGAAGGACAGCUUUCCUUGCUGAGGCUUCUCCCCUAGCCCCAAAGAUCCAUGUGCAUCCUGUGACCCUACAGUCCUUGCUAGCAAGGGGCCCCUCGUCCUCCUACAGAGUGCGACACCACAGCUCCCUGAGUCACCAGGCCUGGUCCUGCACCUUAACAUUCAGUAGGAGUUUUGCCGUUGGCAUCAGUCAUAGCCCUGAAUACAGAGGGGAGUGCAAUUCCUGAGGUCAUUCCCAAACCUUGGUAUCCUCUACAACAGCCCUAGGGCAGUUGGAUGGCGGGUGGGCUGGUCUUGUGGCCCAUUUUCCUUCACUUGUUCGCUCACAUCUCCAGGCAGAGUUCCUCUAGGUGGUGGCCACUAGCUCUUGGACUCCUUCAUGGAGCAGCGGGCGUGUCCGCCUCCAGAAUCCUGAUUUAAAGACACCCCCGUCCUGUCUCUGUAUCAUCAGAACAGAUCAGCUAAAGUUUAAAAUGCCUACCACAGUCCAAGCUCCCAAUGAGCUCCUUUUGGGUAAUUUGGAAUGGUCACUAUCAGACUUUGCAGGCUUUUAUUUUGCUCCCUGUAUAAAAACCUUUACUGGACAAGCUCCUCCAGGCCUAUCGCAGCUUGGCAGUAAGGAGUUAUUUUUUUCUGGAAAGUGAUUUGAGCAAUCCCCAAAUACCAAGAGACCAGACCUGAGCUGAAGGUGUGAAAGCUGGUUGGGCUGGCAAGUUCAGGUCCAGGGCCUGGCUUCUUUAUAGCAGUCUGGCUCACCAAUCAGAGAGAGAGAGAAAAUGGAGUCUUUGUUAGAAUUUUCAGUCACUUUGGGAUGGGGGUUUAAAGAAUGAUAAGUUUGCCCUUCUAUAAGAACCUUUCACUGAAGUGAAAGUGCUUUAAAUACAUGAAAGAUUGAAACCACACAACAUCCUUAUAAGAGUUAAGCAUUAUAUCCAUGGUAAACUGAGUCACAGAGAGUUGGUGUAACUUGCUUAAGAUGACAGAGCCAGGGCUAGAACCCAGGAGUCCUGUCUUCCACCCACCUACUGUGAUCACUAUAGUAAUUCUUUCCCUGUCUUCCUUGUCCUCAGGAUGUGGUGGGGGGUUCCCCCCUCAAUGAAUCUUCCUCUCCAGUAAAACUUGCCUGUGAAUUCCCAGUAUUUAUGUAUCAAAGCCAAAUGCAAGUUUCUGCUGCAAGAAGAGAAUGAUAAAUCAAAAUCCUGCCACACUCUCGCAAUCAGCAGAAUGGGGUUUCAGCUAUUUCCCUCUAAACCAUUAGUGCAAAUGGUGUGCUCAUAAAAUUAGGUAGCGCUUGAUGUUUCUGAGUACUAAUGACCUGGAAUUAACAGAAAUAACCACGGAAUAAACUGGUAAUUAAUGUCCUCUUUAUUUUCCUGCUAACAAGAUGAAAACAUAUUGAGAAAGGAUCGUCAUUUCUCAGCCCCAAAUAUGACACUGUUAGCACCAUUGUAAUGUUCCUCUAAUUACCCAGAACUCAGCCAGACUGAUUGGCUCAGAAUGAAACAGCAUUCCUCCAUUUCUGCAGCUUCCUAGCUGGAAAGGAGUGGGACCAUUUGGCAAGUUACUGGAUUGAGUCUGAAUUUGAGGGAAUAUGAAGUAGAAACAUUAGAGUUAUUCUACCAGGAAAAAGCGGAGGUCCCUCUAAUGCAGAUGCAGUAGCUUGUCUCUGGAAUUCCAAAAUUCCCAAUAAUGAACUGGGUCAGUUGUGCCAUACAAUAUUUAACACUAUUAUUUGGGCCCAGAUGACCCAGCCAUGACUGAGGCCCCAUUGUGCUGGAGGUGCUGCUCAGAGGGCUAUUCAAGACAGUCCCGGUCCUGAAAGAUUUUACAAUUGACUAUUAAGGACUGGGAUGGCAGGAGACUGAACAUUAGAAUUUCUUCCUGACUGUGGUAGGAAAACACUAAGGCCUGGCUUGUGACUGUCACUUGUAGAGCUGCAGAUGUUAACAGUUAUUAAAUCAUUCUUACACUGCUGAUAUCAGUAGUGCCUACAGAUCUCAGGACAUGCAACUGUAUAAACAACUUGGACAGAGCAGAAGAAGAGCUGUGCGUAGCUCAAAAGCUUGUCUCUUUCCCCAACAGAAGUUGGUCCAAUAAAAGAUAU